AUCAGUAUGACCAAAUUAUUAAACAUAUUGUCCACUUAUGUUGAUAAAGAUCGAGUUCGUUUAAGUCUUAUAUGAAUGUUGUGCCACAAUGUUGAUCCAGUCAGGCAGAUUUUUCUCAUGUGUGAACUGUCAUAAGACUUAUUCAUUGUCCUCUCCAUCAGCUUCUGUGUGUUCAGCUGAGCUGCUGAUUGGAGGCUCUGCCUCUCUGUUAUCCUCAGUUUGAAUUUCAUUAAGCUUUGAGGACUGACGGCCAACACACUUGUGUCUUUUGAUACAAUUACGCCAUUUAAAUCUUUUGUCACAAACAUUGCAGCUGUGUGGUUUCUCUCCUGUGUGGACUCUCAUGUGUGUCUUUAAAUUUCCACUCAGUGAAAAACCUUUCUUACAAACUGAGCAGCUAAAGGGUUUCUCUCCUGUGUGGACUCUCAUGUGUUCCUUUAAACUUCCACUCUGUG